CUUAGGUGCAGCUCUACUAUGCGCUGGUAUUUUGACUGUCGCCUCAAUACAACAAGGACAGGGGAAAGUGAAUAUCCAGCGAAUAUUGAACCUAAAACUAACUUUAUCGCGGUGCGAAGAUGGAGAGGAAGCGGCCAGGUGGAGCAGAGAGGGAAAGGGCAUGCAAAAGGAAAACUCUCCAAGAAGAAACAGCGAAAUUUUGCAAAAUUACUGACCAGUUCAGGGCUUCGAGUGCAGUUCAGUCUCAUCUGUAAAUACUGUAGCUUUGUGUUCGCUAACUUAGCUAAUCAAGUAUUAACCACAGUUUCACUGCUAGCAAGCGUUAGCACUAUUACUAUCACCACUCAAAAUAUGAUAAAGGGCAAUGUUAUCUACUGUAUAGUUAUAUAAUAAGUAAAAAAUAAUAAUAAUAAAAAAAGUAAUUCAGCAAACAAAUAUCCAAAUGUACGUACAGUAGGCUACAUUUAGGGAGCCCUCCAUGUUGUUAUUUUAAAUGUUGAAAUUACAAAUACAGCUAGGGCAAACAACAGCAGCAACAAUAAUGACAAAAACAAACACUUUUCCAAGCUAGGAGUCAUAAAAGGUAAUAUCAUGUUCAAUAUUAGGAUUUUUCUAAAUAGAUAUUGUCAUGAUGUAGUCAGUAUUGUAAUAACAAGUAUUUAGGUAAUUUAGAAAAUUAUGUCUGCCCAUAUGUGAGGUUGAAAAACAAAAACAUUUUUUGUCCUAUUUUUCACAAUAAGGUGGAGAGAGUUAACCUGGCAGUAUCUCUGUGCAGUGCUCACACUUCAGUAUCAACCUGAGAUGACAGGUAGAGGUCAAAUAAGAGAUAUUAAAUGUGCUUUAAUAUAUUUGUAUAAAAUACAGUGUGGUUAAAUCUCAGGUGUUUUAAGUACUUUUAAGUCUAAAAAAAAUUGCCCUAAUGUGGUACUUUAAUUUUAACUAAAAUAAGUUUAGAUUCUGUGCUCACAAAUUACAGUGAGGUUAAACAGUUUUCAUUUUCCAGCAAUGUGGAGACAGUUCUGUUCAUAGCAGUAGACCCGGGAAAAAAGUGACAGAUUCAUGAAAAAGUGGCACAAGAAAAAGUGUCUUGUUUACCUCUCUUCUUCAUUUACUGUACUUUUGUGAGUGAAAUGUAGUUAUUGGAAGCUUUGCACUUCUGGUGUUGUUAAAUGCUUGGCACAAGCAUUUAAGAUGAUAUAAAUUAGGACUGCUUCACUACCUCUAGGUUGCUUGUUUAUAUUUUUACGGGAUGGCCACACUGUGUGUAACAACAUGAAUUGUAUGGGUUGGCCUGCAUGAGUGUGAGUCUCCUGACCUGAAAUUAAGUCCCAGUCCGGCCCUGGUCCUGAGAAUCUAAUCUAAGAUUCCAGAGUCUGUGGGAACAAAGGAAAAUUAUCUCCCGUGUAGAUCACGUGGUCUCACACACAUUUCAAGAUAUAAAACCAUAUACUGUUAUUUCCUAAAUGUAUAUGAUAUUUUUGAUGUCUCCACAUUGCUCACCAUGAACUAUGGAUUAGAUUGAUAUCAAACAUGCCCUGAAGAAUAUUUUAACUAAACACAGUUUGGACCAGGUUUAGUUCACAUGGUCUCUCUGACCCACAUUCUUGAUCAUUUUAACCUUAAUCAAAUUACUGCCGCAGUUUAUAAAUCUACUACACAGCUUGCUAAAAACUUGCAGUCAUCAGGUAGUUAUGAUCAGGUGUCCUUUAAUUUAAUACUGGGGGCACUGCACAACUACUACUAUUCCAGAAAAGCAUGGGUUUAAUAAUGGCAUAAAGCAGCCUUGUGGGAGUUUUCUCCAUAAACAUAUCUAUUAGCAGAGAAGGCCAUAGAGUUGAGGAUCAGAGUCAGCCACACAACAAUACACACAUGACCUUCAAGAGCAGUACUACAAAAAAACAAAACAAAUUAAGUCUCAAACUGUGAUUUAUUUAUUUUUAUUAUAAAGAACAUAUAUUAACAUGUAUGAAAUUAUGUACCAUGUGAUCAGGCACUUGUUAUAUACUACAAACUGAUCAUUAAAUACAUAAAAGUUGAUAUUUAAAUAAACAUUUAAUUAUAAAUACACACAGCAGUACUGUUAUAGUGCAAUUAAAAAAAAACACACAUUCUAUUUUAGGUUCACAUAUACAGAAAUUUGUCACAGGGAUCCCCCUAUUUUUUUUUAUUAUUUUUUUUUCUUCAGAUUUACUUGACAGAAUGCAUAUUUUAAGUCUGUCCUAAAUGGCUUUUAUUAAUCCAGAUUUAUAUAUGUAUGUGUGUAUGUGUGUGUGUGUAUAUUAUAUAUAUAUAAUAUGUAUAUAUAUGUAUAUAAUUUAGCUGUAAUAAAUUAUGAGGUCAUAGCAACAAAUUAUAUAAACAGUACUGUUUACAUUUGUGUAGGUUGUGAAGGCAUGAAAUACACCUUUUCAUUAAAUUCAUGUAUAACUAGACAUCAUAAAGCAGGGGUGUCAAACUCAUUUUAGUUCUGGGG